AAUGGGCGCAAGCCUGAUCCAGCCAUGCCGCGUGAGUGAUGAAGGCCCUAGGGUCGCAAAGCUCUUUCGCCUGUGAAGAUAAUGACGGUAGCAGGUAAAGAAACCCCGGCUAACUCCGUGCCAGCAGCCGCGGUAAUACGGAGGGGGUUAGCGUUGUUCGGAAUUACUGGGCGUAAAGCGCGCGUAGGCGGACUAUUAAGUCAGAGGUGAAAUCCCGGGGCUCAACCCCGGAACUGCCUUUGAUACUGGUAGUCUUGAGUUCGAGAGAGGUAAGUGGAAUUCCGAGUGUAGAGGUGAAAUUCGUAGAUAUUCGGAGGAACACCAGUGGCGAAGGCGGCUUACUGGCUCGAUACUGACGCUGAGGUGCGAAAGUGUGGGGAGCAAACAGGAUU
rnacentral:rRNA from 1 species